rnacentral:rRNA from 1 species
UACGAAGGGGGCUAGCGUUGUUCGGAAUCACUGGGCGUAAAGCGCACGUAGGCGGACUCUUAAGUCAGGGGUGAAAUCCUGGAGCUCAACUCCGAACUGCCUUUGAUACUGGGAUCUGAGUCGGGAGAGGUGAGUGGAACUGCGAGUGUAGAGGUGAAAUUCGUAGAUAUUCGCAAGAACACCAGUGGCGAAGGCGGCUCACUGGCCCGAUACUGACGCUGAGGUGCGAAAGCGUGGGGAGCAACAGG